GAUGAACGCUAGCGGCAGGCUUAACACAUGCAAGUCGAGGGGUAUGGUUCUUCGGAGCUAGAGACCGGCGCACGGGUGCGUAACGCGUAUGCAAUCUACCUUUUGCAGAGGGAUAGCCCAGAGAAAUUUGGAUUAAUACCUCAUAGUAUGUGAGAAUGGCAUCAUUUUCACAUUAAAGUCACAACGGCAAAAGAUGAGCAUGCGUCCCAUUAGCUUGUUGGUAAGGUAACGGCUUACCAAGGCAACGAUGGGUAGGGGUCCUGAGAGGGAGAUCCCCCACACUGGGACUGAGCCACGGACCAGACUCCUACGGGAGGCAGCAGUGAGGAAUAUUGGACAAUGGGCGCAAGCCUGAUCCAGCCAUGCCGCGUGCAGGAUGACAGUCCUAUGGAUUGUAAACUGCUUUUGUACAGGAAGAAACACUGGUUCGUGAACCAGCUUGACGGUACUGUAAGAAUAAGGAUCGGCUAACUCCGUGCCAGCCGCCGCCGUAACAC
rnacentral:rRNA from 1 species